AUGCUGGCUCCUUAAACAACUGAGCCGCCAGGGAACUCCCUGGUCUGAAUUUUGAAACAGAUGUAUCUGGCAAGAAGAGUCCCUGGACCAUGGCUCAGAGGACGUCCUCCUCCAGCUCUGAGCCAGGCUCUCUCGGGCAGAUGGGCAGACCUCUCAGAUUCCUUUGCUUUCCAAUCUUAAAGAGCAGGGGCAGAACGGUGGGACUUUCUCUGCCUACUUGUCCUUUUCAUGGCACAAGUGGCCAUGCCAAGCCUGGUGCUGGUUCUCCUAAGAAUCACGGGGCCAGGGCCCAGAAUUGCCACCAAAGCCUUCCUUUGACAUUUGGGCUCACCUCUGCACUGGGCCUGUAAUUCUGGGAGCUGCCACCAGGGGGACGGUGUCACUUUUGUCUCGGGACAUUGGUCUGAGUUACUGAGAAACGCAGGAUCCACUCCCGGCCUAAGCACCAGUUUUGUCUCCAACCACCUGCCUUUGAAGCCCGGAGGCCUGAAUUCCAGCAUCCUUCACCAAGCGAGGUGUGGGCGUGUGCGGUGGCCCACGACCCAGAACAACAGACGCAGAGAGGCCACACCAGCAUACGGAAAUUCCUGGACCAGUGACUGAAUCCAAGGAGCCAUAGCCACGGUCACGCCAGACCUUUAACCCACUGCACUAGGCCAGGGAUGGAACCCGCACCUCUGCAUCGACCCGAGCUGCUGCAGUCGGAUCCUUAACCCACUGCACCACAGUGGGAACUCCAGAGCUACUUAUUGCUUAACCCAAGACGGACCCUCCUCUGUACGUGGUGUGUGUCCUCCGUGCCUGGAUGCUGGGAUUCGCGUCUUGAAAGGGGUUUUUGGUGAAAGCACGGCUACCAGACAACCUGGUAUUUGCAAAACCACCAGGAGCAAAACCCAUUGAAAUACAGCGUAAGGAAAUACACAUAAUUCACAAAUGAUGUUGAUCACUUUCAUCUUAGACUUCCUAACUGUCCUCAAUAGAAGACAGACGCCAAGGAGAUUUAACUCAGAUGUUAAUAGUGCAGAGAAUGCCCCGUUACCAGGGAAUGCUGCUUCGGUGCUGCAUGAAAAUUUUCCUGCCGCGAUGCCAUUGAUUUUGGAACGGGAGGGACAGAAUUUUAUCCAACGAAUAUUCACUAAGCAUCUGCGAUGCGGGAGGCCCCGGAUGAGGUACCAGAGGCCACCAGAUUCGGUCCCUGCUUUCAAGUCCUGGCCAGUCUGGAAGGGGAGAGGAGCAAGACCCAGAGAGUUGGGUGGCAGCGGGCUUGGCGGAGACGCCGAGGAGCAGGUGACCUUUGUCCUGGGCUUCGAAGAGAGACGAGUUUCUCCAUAAGGGACAUGGUACAUAAAAUACAAAAAUAGAACAUUUUAGAAAGGCUUUUUGGCCUCUCUGGAAAGAUUUACAUGGAGAAAGAAUGUUCUCUUCCUCCUUUUAUUAAUUUAAUAGCAGCAGCCAGAAUCCACCUCUCUGAGCCCUGGUUCCCAGCACACCUUCCCUGUAGCUUCUAGGUCUUUCUAUUCCUAGUCUUCUUCUUCUUCUUUUUUUUCUGUAUUCCCCAGGGCCAGGGAUUGAAUCUGAG